rnacentral:rRNA from 1 species
UGGGGAAUAUUGCACAAUGGGCGCAAGCCUGAUGCAGCCAUGCCGCGUGUGUGAAGAAGGCCUUCGGGUUGUAAAGCACUUUCAGCGAGGAGGAAGGUGGUGGACUUAAUACGUUCAUCAAUUGACGUUACUCGCAGAAGAAGCACCGGCUAACUCCGUGCCAGCAGCCGCGGUAAUACGGAGGGUGCAAGCGUUAAUCGGAAUUACUGGGCGUAAAGCGCACGCAGGCGGUUUGUUAAGUCAGAUGUGAAAUCCCCGGGCUCAACCUGGGAACUGCAUUUGAAAACUGGCAAGCUAGAGUCUCGUAGAGGGGGGUAGAAUUCCAGGUGUAGCGGUGAAAUGCGUAGAGAUCUGGAGGAAUACCGGUGGCGAAGGCGGCCCCCUGGACGAAGACUGACGCUCAGGUGCGAAAAGCGUGGGGAGCAAAACAGGAUUAGAUACCCUGGUAGUCCACGCUGUAAAACGAUGUCGAUUUUGGAGGUUGUGCCCUUGAGGCGUGGCUUCCGGAGCUAACGCGUUAAAUCGACCGCCU